AGACUAAAGCCCCACUAUCAACACCCAAAGCUGAAGUUCUAUUUAAACUAUUCCCUG
rnacentral:tRNA from 1 species